AUGCAUGCGUUUAGUUGGCCACAAAAUAGGUAUCAAAUACCUCCUAUGUUAUUGUUUAGAAGUCCUAUUUAUAUCAUUAGACCAUAUUUUUUUUCUAGAAGUAUUCUUUACAUCAUAUCAUUGAGAGGACUCAUUUUUUCAGACAUUCAAUACUCACAACCCUCCUCCAGAUCAUCUCUGGCAUCGUGCGCUGUUCAGUCUCCUGGUCCACGGUCUCAAAGAGCUUUCUCCCCUGCUCCCUUUACCCUGGUGACUAUUCUGCUGCACAGCUUGGUAGCUGAGUUCUCCAGGGAACUUGUUUCCGGUUUUGAUUUGUGCCUGAGUGAAACCCCUGUAGCCACUUGGAGGAGAGCAUCUUUAAAUUUUCAGAUACCUUGGAAUUCUCUAAGCCUUGUUGGUAAACAUGCCACAGCAUCUAAAGCCCCUAAGAGGGCCUUCCAGUAACUUGAAUCUUUUCUAUAAGCCAGUAUUUGCUUCAAGCUCCAGAUAAAAGGUAAGCUUUCCUUUAAUUAGAAAAAAUCUUUCUAAAAACUGCCUAUUGUAUUUCCAGGAA
rnacentral:lncRNA from 12 species